rnacentral:sRNA from 1 species
GAAUCACUAGUUCUGCAUUACCCUUAGA